CACGAACCGGACAAAUGUUGUCCGGAUUUAUUGGGUUUAAAGGGUGCGUAGGCGGAUGAUUAAGUCAGUGGUGAAAGCCCACAGCUCAACUGUGGAACUGCCAUUGAUACUGGUUAUCUUGAGUAUAGUUGAGGCAGGCGGAAUUUACGAUGUAGCGGUGAAAUGCAUAGAUAUCGUAAAGAACACCUAUAGCGAAGGCAGCUUGCUAAACUAUAACUGACGCUGAGGCACGAAAGCAUGGGUAGCGAACAGG
rnacentral:misc_RNA from 1 species